AGUGAACGCUGGCGGUAGGCCUAACACAUGCAAGUCGAACGGCAGCACAGUAAGAGCUUGCUCUUACGGGUGGCGAGUGGCGGACGGGUGAGGAAUACAUCGGAAUCUACUUUUUCGUGGGGGAUAACGUAGGGAAACUUACGCUAAUACCGCAUACGACCUACGGGUGAAAGCAGGGGAUCUUCGGACCUUGCGCGAUUGAAUGAGCCGAUGUCGGAUUAGCUAGUUGGCGGGGUAAAGGCCCACCAAGGCGACGAUCCGUAGCUGGUCGGAGAGGAUGAUCGGCCACACUGGAACUGAGACACGGUCCAGACUCCUACGGGAGGCAGCAGUGGGGAAUAUUGGGCAAUGGGCGCAAGCCUGAUCCAGCCAUACCGCGUGGGUGAAGAAGGCCUUCGGGUUGUAAAGCCCUUUUGUUGGGAAAGAAAAGCAGCAGGUUAAUACCCCGCUGUUCUGACGGUACCCAAAGAAUAAGCACCGGCUAACUUCGUG
rnacentral:rRNA from 1 species